ensembl:lncRNA
CCCCGCCCCUAAUGCAACUGACUAAAAAUAAGUUCUGACUUUGCUGACUAUAGCAAGUCAUGGCUGAUCAAGCAAAAAACUUUAUAUUAUAUGUAGGCUAAUUAUUUAUAUAUUUAAUGUCUUAAUAAAAUAUAUCAUGAAUAAUUAAUUCUAACGGAAACAAAACACGAUACAUCACAACUACUAAAACAAAACAUAUCCUAGCAAAGUUUCUAUUUUGCUUAAUGCAUUAAGGCAGGUUAUAAACGCAUUGUUAAAUACAUUCAUCAUAGCUAACACUAAGGAAGAAUCCAGUUCAGAAAGAUAUCACCUUGAAGCUCUUCACUCGACGCGGAAAAAUUGGCGGCUGCGCGGUUACGUAGUGACGCUGCUUCUGCAUAGUUUGGUGCGACUGUUGUUAAAUUUCUGUAUUAGGAAAAUGUUCGUUGCUGUUGUGUUGCUCGUAGUGCGAUAUGUUUCUGCAGUUCCUGAUACAAGUUUAUUAAAAUGAUGAAUCCUUAAUGCAGCGCAAACAGAACAUGUUUGCAGGCUCUUUUCCGUAACGGUAAACGUACAAUUUACUAGUGAACAUGCGUCAUGACGCAAAGGCACCUGUUCCAGGAAUACAAGGUGCACUGGAGAACACUGUCUGCCGGAAAUUGCUUUAUAGCCAGCCAAUCAGAAUGGGAUGGCCAAUUUUUGGAUGCUGAGACUAGUUACAACAUACUAAAGAGCUAAAGGAAUCAACAGGGAAUGAUCUGAUGACCGUUGGGAAUUUUUUAUUCAGAUAGAACAUGAUGUUGCUUUAGAACAUCAGUCUAUUCAAAGGCACAAAACAGAUGAAAAUGUAGUCCAUUUUACAUUAAACUAAUUCAAAUUGAAUUAAAAGCUUUUUUAC